rnacentral:rRNA from 1 species
UAGGGAAUAUUGGGCAAUGGACGGAAGUCUGACCCAGCCAUGCCGCGUGCAGGAAGAAGGCCUUCUGGGUUGUAAACUGCUUUUAUAUAGGAAGAAAACGCCCAUGCGUGGGAAACUGGCGGUACUAUAUGAAUAAGCACCGGCUAACUCCGUGCCAGCAGCCGCGGUAAUACGGAGGGUGCAAGCGUUGUCCGGAUUUAUUGGGUUUAAAGGGUGCGUAGGCGGCCCGGUAAGUCAGUGGUGAAAGCCUCCAGCUCAACUGGAGAACUGCCAUUGAUACUGUCGGGCUUGAGUACAGACGAGGUUGGCGGAAUUGAUUGUGUAGCGGUGAAAUGCAUAGAUACAAUCAAGAACACCGAUUGCGUAGGCAGCUAACUAGGCUGUAACUGACGCUGAGGCACGAAAGCGUGGGGAGGCGAACAGGAUUAGAUACCCUGGUAGUCCACGCUGUAACGAUGAUUACUCGAUGUCGGCGAUAAACAGUCGG